GGAAGGAAGGAAGCAGGAUGGAGCCAGAAGGAGACAUGGAGGAGGCACAUGGAGUUGAGAGACACGUGAAGAAACUGCGCUGGCCUCUUGGUCGUGGACGGGUGACACAGAUGUGGCCACUUGCCAUAAAAUAGACCCGACUGCAUGGAGAGUUCCAGCAGGAGAGGAAGGAGACAAAACUGUUACUUAAAGCGGGUAAGAAAUAUGAUCAUGACCUUCUUACUCUUCUGAGAAAAAAAGAAAAAAAAGAAUGAAUCUGCCCAGUGAUUCAAGUGUGACCCACACCAUGCAAAGGAGAUGUGUUUCACCACGGUGAAUCCUCACAGCAGCACUAAGAGAUAUAACACACGAGCAAGAGGAGCCCUGUAGAAAUCACUUUCAUUUCUGAAAAAUGUAAAAAUGCUCAUUAAUCAGUAGGAAGGAAAGAAACCAGAGAAGAACUAUUAGUAUUUCUUCAUUACAGGUAGUUCUUUAAAAGUGUUUUUUCUUUAAAUCGAGUUCAGAAUUAUUCUGUUUACACUGAAAUACAUUCCCAGUGCCAUGGGGAUCAUCAGAUACAUAUCAUGGCAAUAUAUCUGAUUUCUUGCCCAAAAUAAAUAAGAGUUUAAUAUCAGUUCCAUCUCUAGGUGAAAAUAAAUAGCUCUGAAAAUCAAUUUUUCUCAUUUUCUUUCAUACUUGGCCUAUAAUGGUUGUUUUAUGUUGUUCCUAUCAGAACUCUGAAACUGAGUUGGAGUUGUGUGUUAUAUUCCAGUUCUGCCUUUUCUGAAAGCUAAAUGAAAGAACAUGUCUUUGCCAGAAAUUCAGAUUUUUACAUUGCCAGUCUAAUUUGAUUUUUUGUUGACCGUCCUCAGUCAGCCUGUGUUAGGAUCCUGUGGACUUUUGAGUUAAACAGAUUUGGGUUGAAACUUUGCUCAGCCCUUUUUUUCUUUAAUUAAAGGUAUCAGUUGUUUACAUGUCUAUAUAACUUUGAGGUUAGAUUUUUACUCCGUGUUAGGUAGACAUGUCUCAUUCACUCCUCACCAGGCCUCCCAUGUCAAUGCCCUCGUCCCUCUCUCCUGUUCCCUCUGGUAACCAGUAUAUAUUUCACUAAGAUUUGUUUUGUUUACUUUGCCAAUAUGUUUUUCACUAAGAUAGCAUAAUCACCUUGAAAUCCAUCAACUUUGUCCCAAAGGCACUAUUUCAUCCUUUUUAACAGCUGUGUAGUAUACCAUUGUGAUCCAUAUUUAACUCCAUAACAAAAAAUUAAUUCUAAAUAAACUCAAGAUUUGGAUAUAAGAACUGAAACCAUAAAAUACUUAAAACAUUAGCUACAUGACAUCUACCACAAAGUUGUAUCUAGGGGUGUAACUCCAACAACAAGGAAAACAACAACAAAAAUUAUA